rnacentral:rRNA from 1 species
CCUACGGGAGGCAGCAGUGGGGAAUAUUGGGCAAUGGAGGAAACUCUGACCCAGCAACGCCGCGUGAAUGAUGAAGGUCUUCGGAUUGUAAAGUUCUUUUCUAAGGGAAGAAGAAAGUGACGGUACCUUAGGAAUAAGCCUCGGCUAACUACGUGCCAGCAUCCGCGGGAAUACGUAGGAGCCGAGCGUUAUCCGGAAUGACUGGGCGUAAAGGGUGCGUAGGUGGUUUGGCACGUUAGUAGCGUAACUCCAAGGCUCAACCUUGGAACUACUAUUAAAACUGGUGGACUUGAGUGCAGGAGGGGUAACCGGAAUUCGUAGUGUAGCGGUGGAAUGCGUAGAUAUUAGGAGGAACACCAGUGGCGAAGGCGGGUUGCUGGACUGUAACUGACACUGAGGCACGAAAGCGUGGGGAGCAAACAGGAUUAGAUACCCUUGUAGUC